GAUGAAGAACGUAGCGAAAUGCGAUAAGUAAUGUGAAUUGCAGAAUUCAGUGAAUCAUCGAAUCUUUGAACGCACAUUGCGCCCGCCAGUAUUCUGGCGGGCAUGCCUGUCCGAGCGUCAUUUCAACCAUCAAGCCCCGGGCUUGUGUUGGGGACCUGCGUCCGACGCAGGCCCUGAAAACCAGUGGCGGGCUCGCUGUCCACACCGAGCGUAGUAACUAACCUCGCUAUGGAGUGGCGCGGGCGCCUGCCGUAAAACCCCCAAUUUUUACAAGGUUGACCUCGGAUCAGGUAGGAAUACCCGCUGAACUUAAGCAUAUCAAUAAGCAGGA
rnacentral:misc_RNA from 1 species